CCACGUCAGCCCCGCCUCUCCUGGCUCUGUCCGGGCCAACUGGAGCCACGACAGGCUCCUCCAAGUCUCCCCUCACCUAAUAGCUGCACCUGGAUGCGAAUUGGAAGCUCGUGAGUGAAGGAAGGCAGACUGUCCUGCCAAAGUUAGGUUUUUCUUAUGAAUGUGACUCCUUCCUUCCUCCCUAGUGUCGAAUUCCCAGCCGCGUCCAGGCUCCCCCCCCCCUCCAGCUUUCCACCUAAGUCGAACGAUCGACGGGUCCCCGACCCUGGCGCUGGGUAGCGACGUGCAGGACUCACCGCGGGUGAGGCGCGGACUCCGGCCAGGGCUCCGGGCUGGGCCAGCAUUCCUUCUUGCUAGGGUUUCAGCAGAUACCCAGAAGUCCAAGCCUUGGAAACUCAAACCCUAAAUUCAUGCUGCUAUUUGAAAUGAGGGAUGAGGUAAUGAGGGUAGAGCCCUGUCCUUGUUUACUUUCUAUCCCUGUGAUAAAGACCAAAAGCAGCCUGGUGAGGAAAGUUUAUUUGGCUUACAUAUCCUGGGUCACGUGGUGUGUUGAAGGAAGUUAAGGCAGGACAACUCCAGGCAGGAACUGAAGCAGACACCAUGGAGGAGUGAUGCUUACCAGUUUGUUCCUCAUGGCUUGCUCAGAUUGCUUCCUUAUACAAUCCAGGACCACCUGUCCCAGGUGACACAGCCCACAGUGAAUGGGGCCCUCCUACAUCAAUCAUUAACCAAUAAAAUGCCCCUAAAGACUUGCCCACAGAACAGUCAUAUGGAGACCUUUUCUCCACUCAGGCUCCCUCUUUCCAAAUGACUCCAGCUUGUGUCAGGUUGACAAAAAUUAACCAGCCCAAGCUCCCAUAACAGCAUCAGUGGCUUUAUAAGAGGAAACAGUAUGCUUCAGCUCACACCCCAGCUCAUCCAUAGCUUGGACUAGGCCCCUUUAUAGUUCCCAAAAGACUACAGACCUCAUAGGUUUCAUGUUCACCUUUGUGUUGCAGUUGAGUCACCUAUGUUAGCUUGAAGUGGCGGUGCUUUUAAUCCCAGCUCUUGGGGGGUAGAGACAGGUGGGUAUCUGCUAGUUCCAGGCCAGCCUGGUCUCCAGUGAAUUCAGGCCUACAUCACAAGUUCCAAUUUUUACUCUCUAUUCUCUGUUUUGAUUUGUGGAUCUCCUCGGAGUGGGGGACAUGCAAUAAAACAAAGAAAACUAGAUAAACACAAAUGAAAGUCAUAGCGAGUAAUACAAAUGGUCCACAUGCUGGCAUUCAUGGGGAAGAGAACUUGAUGGAAAACAAUGAGGUUCUGCCCCAGUGGCCUAAUAGUUAAAGCACUAGCUUCCUAAGCCAGGGAUUGUGGGUUUAAGUUUCACCGAGGGUAAUAAGAGGCCCCUACCUUUGAUUCCCAGGUAAUGUUUUGGGGGCUGAGAAGAUUGCUUACUGGUUAGGAACACUGGCUGCUCUUCCAGAUGGCCUGAGUUUGAUUCUCAGCACCCACAUGAUAGCUCACAAUCACCUGUAACUGUAGUUCCAGGGGAUCUGAUGCCCUCUUCCGGGCACGAGGCACACAUGCAGUGCACAGAUAUACGGGAAGCAAAACACCAAUACACGUGAAGUAAAAUAAUAAAAAAAAGUUUUUAAAUAGUUCAAAGUUAUUAAGAUAAAAGGCUUCCCAUUACAUUUGUCUAUGAAUCAUCACAAGCCAUAAGAAAAUAAAUAAAAAUCUGUAUCUUUAGGGACAUUAAAAAGAAAAAGGAAUGAGGGCUGGUGAGUUGGCUCAGCAGGUAAAGGUACUUGCCUUUAAGCCUAAAGACCUGAGUUUGAUUCUUGGAGCUCCCUCUUAGUGGAAGGAGAGAACCAACUUCCACAAGUUGUCCUCUGAACUCCACACAAAUGCCGUGGCAUGUGUGUGCUCCCUGGCCCCAAAAUAAAUAACAAAACCAUCGAAAGAAAAUGAGGCAAGAUUUUCCAGGGAGUUGCUCAGGGCAACUACCAUCUGUCGUCUAUCAGCUACAUUUCAAGUAUUGCUUCUACAGUUCAUUUUGAACCUCUGACAACUUGGUAGGUGAGUGGCUCUUAAACUUGGGUGUGUUUGAGAACCACCCCAUUCUGUGAAUGUAAACGUGUAGGUAGGUCCCUGUCAUCCCCCCACUUCCGUGCAGGGAUGGGGUGGUGGUGGAGUAGGUUGAGACUGGCUCGGGAGUCUUAGCAUUUAGGAAGCUCCCCGGAAACAAAACUCUUACAUAUAAUUUUAGCACUCAGAGAUUAAGGUGGAAGGAUUACAAAUUCCAUAGAAAGUGAGGAUUUGUUUUAGCAAAUCAAGGGCUGGAAAACGUAAUCCUUAGUGAAGUGCACUCACCUAAAUCCCCCGGGCUUCCAUCCCAGCACUGAAACAGAACAGGAAUGGAACAAACUUCAACUAGCUCCUGGGUGACUGGCUGACUACAGAGCAUUAUGGGUUCACACCAGACACCCUGAAGGCAGUACAAAUUAAUGGUGAAAAAUCCCAGGAGUUAAGGACUAUUGCAGAGUGUGGAAAGAUUUGAGGAAGGGCUGUAAAGGACCUAACACUUUAACCCUAUUUGCAUGUGACUGAGUCUAGGCUCCCGGCAAGGACCACAAUCACUAGCAGAGAUAAUUAACGCCAUCCUUACUCCUCACUGGGUCUGUUUCCAGUGUGAAACGCACUACAGGAGAGAAACCUUGAGUUCAGCAAACCCGAGGGAGUGGUCGGCCAGACCUUGGUCUGGGGUGAAAUUGUUUCUACCCCUCACAGCUACUCAAGGAUGUUUAGAAACGCCCUUGAAAAGACUGUCAGAAAAAGGCUGUCGGUCUCUGUUCUCAAAACAUUUGGCGGGGACACUAUGCACCGGAGUCAUCUUUCAACAGAGGCCGGGAAUGGGAGCUCAUCCGGCAAAAAGAUAGUCCAUAGCGGAAGGCUACAAAAGAAUCACACUGAAGCAGGGACGAGCAGUUAGAAACCAUGCAGCUGCCAUUCUUGGCAAGAAUCCAGGAAAGAAAAAAAAAAAAAAAGGCCCUUUGUAACCCAGACUAUCCUCGAGCUCCUUAUCCUCCUGCUCCAGCCUCCCACACGCUGAGAUUAUAUAAGCAUGUUCACCACGACUUUCUCAUCCUGGUUUUAGUUGAGGUCGGCCUGAUGCCACGAGCCUGCUUCCGUAUUUAUUCCUCUCACGCGCUCUUUUCGCGGAGACCACCAUUUUACGUACGGAACUCAUUGAUCCAACUACAAGCCUGGGAUCGCAAUUCCUCAGGUCUUAACGCUACCUCGAGUAAGCCCGACCAAAGUCAGUGAGCGAACUAAGUGAGGGUUUUGAGAAACCAUCCCCAGUGCUGCCAGCCCCAGCCACUACUUCGGGUUCGGGGACCCCAGGAGGUAAACCACGAACGUCCACGCCCAUCUAUUUUGGGAAGUCUGAGACUCCGGGAACUAUCAAAGGAUGGCGGCCCGCGGCUUCACUUCCCAUUCCACAACGGAAGCCCCGCAGUGUGGUUAGGCAGGCACAAGAUCCUUCCGCGCUGCACAGACGUGGAUUGCCCGGGAGCGAGCCCAGACCGCGGGCCACACCUCUUCCGGGAGACCCCGCACAGACAGGAAGUGGGUAGCUCCCUCAAAACCCAUUCGCCAUAGCUUAGAACCAGCUGUGCUCUCCGCUUUGUGGAGCAGGGACAACGCCCGCUGGCUAAG